UGAUGAUCCUUGCUCUACCACAUCCUGCCUCUUCCGCAGGAUGGCACACAGACAAAGAAGACACACAGACAAAGAAGAAUGUUGAACUCAGCUUGGUGGGAGGAGCUAGGAUCUGCCAAGAGCUGGGGACCGAACCCAGGGCCUUGUGUCUGCUAGGCAAGCGCUCUACCACUGAGCUAAAUCCCCAACCCCGGAAGAAAGAAAUCUCAAUCAAGUAUUUUGCUAAUUUAUGGAACAGAUGCAAAAUUAAUAAAACAAAAAAAGCCCCAAAAA